UACAGAGGGUGCAAGCGUUGUUCGGAAUUAUUGGGCGUAAAGCGCGUGUAGGCGGCUUUGCAAGUCGGGUGUGAAAGCCCUCAGCUUAACUGAGGAAGUGCGCCCGAAACUGCAUUGCUCGAGUACCGGAGGGGGUGGCGGAAUUCCCCAAGUAGAGGUGAAAUUCGUAGAUAUGGGGAGGAACACCGGUGGCGAAGGCGGCCACCUGGACGGCUACUGACGCUGAGACGCGAAAGCGUGGGGAGCAAACAGG
rnacentral:misc_RNA from 1 species